rnacentral:rRNA from 1 species
GACGAACGCUGGCGGCGUGCCUAACACAUGCAAGUCGAACGGCAAGGCCCUGCUUUUGUGGGGUUCUCGAGUGGCGAACGGGUGAGUAACACGUGAGUAUCCUGCCCUUGUCUUUGGGAUAACUUCACGAAACUGGGGCUAAUACCGGAUAGGAGCUCCUGCUCCAUGGUGGGGGUUGGAAAGUUUCGGCGGUUGGGGAUGGACUCGCGGCUUAUGGGCUUGUUGGUGGGGUAGUGGCUUACCAAGGCUUUGACGGGUAGCCGGCCUGGGAGGGUGACCGGCCACCAUGCGACUGAGGGAGGGAGCAGACGCCAACGGGAGGCAGUAGUGGGAAAUAUUGCACAGUGGGAGGGAGCCUGAGACAGAGGCGCCGCGUGCGGAAAGACGUCCUUCGGGUUAAAAACCGCUUUCGCCUGUGACGAAGCGUGAGUGACGGUAAUGAGUAAAGAAGCACCGGCUAACUACGUG